rnacentral:rRNA from 1 species
ACGGAAGGCAGCAGUGGGGAAUCUUCCGCAAUGGGCGAAAGCCUGACGGAGCAACGCCGCGUGAGUGAAGAAGGUUUUCGGAUCGUAAAGCUCUGUUGUCAGGGACGAGAAGUGAGUUCAGGAAAUGGGACUUAUAGGACGGUACCUGGCGAGAAAGCCACGGCUAACUACGUGCCAGCAGCCGCGGUAAUACGUAGGUGGCGAGCGUUGUCCGGAAUUAUUGGGCGUAAAGGGAGCGCAGGUGGGAAAGUAAGUCAGUCGUAAAAGUGCGGGGCUCAACCCUGUGAUGGGAUUGAAACUACUUUUCUUGAGUGCAGGAGAGGAAAGCGGAAUUCCUAGUGUAGCGGUGAAAUGCGUAGAUAUUAGGAGGAACACCAGUGGCGAAGGCGGCUUUCUGGACUGUAACUGACACUGAGGCUCGAAAGCGUGGGGAGCGAACAGGAUUAGAUACCCUGGUA